CUCUAUACAACUUUACUGGAGAUCACAUCACUGUCAGAUUGUUGUUGUGUUGUUAUUUCAGACAUCUGAACUGUUGAAGAAAAUGUUAAUCGUGUUUGUUUUUCUCUCUUUCUGCUUCACUUCUCUGAAUGGUGUUGUUGGUGAUGAAGUGAAGUCAGUGUCAGUGACGGAGGGAGAUUCUGUUACUCUACACAGUAAUAUUACUGAAAUACUGAGCGCUCAUCUCAUACUAUGGAAAACUCAAGGGUCUCUCAUAGCCAGAAUCAAUAGAGAAGCCAACAAGACAUCAAUAUAUGAUGAAGAUUUUGAUGGGAGAUUCAGAGACAGACUGCAGGUGAAUAAUCAGACUGGAGAUCUCAUCAUCACAAACAUCACAACUCAACACACUGGACUUUAUCAAAUAAUCAUCACCAGCAAGCUGAUGUUGUCACACACAUUCAAUGUUACUGUCUAUGCUCGUCUGCCCGUUCCUGUCAUCACUACGCAAAACUCUUCAUCAUCAGAAACAUCAUCAUGUGUCUUUGUGUGUUCAGUGUUGAAUGUGAGAGAUGUGAGUCUGUCCUGGUACAAAGGAAACAGUGUAUUGUCCAGCAUCAGUGUGUCUGAUCUCAACAUCAGCAGCAUCUCUCUUCAUCUGAAGUGUCUGAAUGAUUCUUACAGCUGUGUGGUGAACAAUACCAUCAGUAAUCAGACUCAACAUCUCAACGUCACUGAUGUCUGUCAGAAGUGUUCAGCAAUUUCUAGAGGAUUUUUUCUUCAGCCAAGGAAAGCUACGAGAUUCCACACUUUCAUCUGAAUUUUUACUUCAGAAAGGUAAAUUUGCUAAUUUAAUUCCAAAGUUUACUCUUGUAAAGUCACCUGUUUGUUCAACUUUAAGAGUGCACUGAGAGAGAGGAGUAAUGAGCAGCACACUUCCUAGUAAACCCGUCUCUUGUGUGCAUUUUGCAAUUUUAUUACCACAAAUAUAUAUUUCUGAAUGAUUUCGAUAUAUUUUCUAGUCUGGCAACAUUUUAUAACGUCAUAGUUAAGAGAAGGAUAAUAAUUUAAUAAUAAAAGUAAUUGGCCGUGUCUCAAUGCGAAGGCUGCAGCCUCUGGAGGUCGCAUUUCUCGGCUGCAUACGUCAUCAAAACUGUCUUGUUUCAGAAUAUUAACAAUUAUAAAGUUGACUGUUAUUCUAAGUUAAUAGUAAAUUGUUUAAUAUGCUUAUGACUUGCGAAUCUAAUGGUCAGUUAACUUAAAUAACCCAGGGUUGAUGACGUAUGGACCCUGCAUAUGCAAGUGCGACGACCUCCGCAGGCUGAAACCAGUCUCUCGAGCUGAAAGAAAACGCAGCUGAGGAGAUAUGAGGUAAGACUUAUCCGGCAACAUUACAUUUAUAACGUCUUUAAUUUAAUUAUAGCGUUAGCAUUGUGAACCAAAAUUAAUUUAAAAGUGUGUAUUUUUGUAUUUAUUGGCGCGAUAUUCGUUUAAAUCUCUCGUUUUUUUCUCUUGCUCGCUUACGUUGCUGCCUGAGGAAACGCAUAAAACUGCAGACAAGAGCCAUCGACCAUCGUUCAGAAAACUUCCACCUAAACAGAUGCUGAGGCCCAGAUUUCCCUGCCAAGCACUCCAAGGCUCAUCAUGCUCGGAGAGUCCAUUCUGGGGGCAAAAAAUGGAUGCUUUCCAUCGAGGGCAGAGUUCUCCUCCAAUUGAGUGACCGUUGUGAUUUCACUUCUGCUCUAGCCAUGUAUGAUGCAGCCACUACAUUGGAAUUUAUCCAGAGGGUAGAGUCCAGCCCAGGAAGUCAACUAGUUCAGGUCCAGUUUUAAAAGAAUAAUAGUUCUGAAAAAAAAAACCGUCUUGGAGAAAAACAAUAUUCAGGUUUGAAAUCCUGCUGUAAAUGUAAAUCAUUUAAUUUUUAUGCAUUUGUAAUUUACCAGAAACAUUUUAAUAAAUAUUGAUUGUUUUGUGUGUUCAGAAAAGUGUUUUUGUAUGAAGUGUUGAAAUUAAAUGAAAUAUUCACAGAAAAAUGUUAACAUAUAAAAAAAAAUGUAUGUGUUCAGAAAGGUUUUGAGAUGUUCACAGAAAAAAUGUAACAUGUUGAAAAAAAUGUAUGCUAUGCUAUUUUUAAAUUAUGAAUUUUUGUAAUUUAAAGUGAGAAAAUAAAUGGCAUUUUUGUGACAAACAGUGUCUUCAUUUUACAGUACACAAAAUAAAUGCAGUAAUCCCUAUUACAGUAGUAGUUAUGAAAUACAGUACUGUGAUUAUUACUGUAAAAGAGUUCACAGUAAUUUUAAUUUUACUGCAGUUAAAUUUACAGUAAGAAUACUGUGAAAUGAAAUACAGCAACUUACUAGCUAAUUGCUGCCAGCAAGUUACUGUAUUUUUCACAGUAUUCUUUUUACAGUGUAGCAGUGAGUGUUUUACCUGCAGUCUUGUUGUGGAUGAAUAUUGACAGACAGAUUCAUGUUUUGUGGUUCAUAUCUCUGAAGAGAUAUGGUUUAGCACCUUUUAUUUCAUAUU